AACGAACGCUGGCGGCAUGCCUAACACAUGCAAGUCGAACGAGACCUUCGGGUCUUGUGGCGCACGGGUGCGUAACGCGUGGGAACCUGCCCUUAGGUUCGGAAUAACUCCCCGAAAGGGGUGCUAAUACCGGAUAAUGUCUUAGGACCAAAGAUUUAUGGCCUUGGGAUGGGCCCGCGUUGGAUUGGCUAGUUGGUAGGGUAAAAGCCUACCAAGGCGACGAUCCAUAGCUGGUCUGAGAGGAUGAUCAGCCACACUGGGACUGAGACACGGCCCAGACUCCUACGGGAGGGAGCAGUGGGGAAUAUUGGACAAUGGGCGAAAGCGUGAUCCAGCAAUGCGGGGUGAGUGAUGAAGGCCUUAGGGUUGUAAAGCUCUUUUACCCGGGAUGAUAAUGACAGUACCGGGAGAAUAAGCUCCGGCUAACUACGUG
rnacentral:rRNA from 1 species